GCCUACGGGACGCAGCAGUGAGGAAUAUUGGUCAAUGGUCGGGAGACUGAACCAGCCAAGCCGCGUGAGGGAGGAAGGUACAGAGUAUCGUAAACCUCUUUUGUCAGGGAACAAAGGCGGGGACGUGUCCCCGGAUGAGUGUACCUGAAGAAAAAGCAUCGGCUAACUCCGUGCCAGCAGCCGCGGUAAUACGGAGGAUGCGAGCGUUAUCCGGAUUUAUUGGGUUUAAAGGGUGCGCAGGCGGUCUGUCAAGUCAGCGGUCAAAUCACGGGGCUCAACCCCGGCCCGCCGGUGAAACUGGGAGU
rnacentral:rRNA from 1 species